AGCACCAUAGCUCAGUGGUAGAGUAUUGGGCCCAUGUCCCAAAGGUCCUUCGUUCGAAACGAAGUGGUGCUA
rnacentral:tRNA from 1 species